rnacentral:rRNA from 1 species
UACGUAGGGGGCAAGCGUUGUCCGGAUUUAUUGGGCGUAAAGCGCGUGUAGGCGGCCACGCAGGUCCGCUGUGAAAACUCGAGGCUCAACCUCGAGCUGUCGGUGGAAACCGCGUGGCUAGAGUCCGGAAGAGGAAAGUGGAAUUCCCGGUGUAGCGGUGAAAUGCGCAGAUAUCGGGAAGAACACCCGUGGCGAAGGCGGCUUUCUGGGACGGUACUGACGCUGAGACGCGAAAGCGUGGGGAGCGAACAGG